GUGAGGAAUUUUCCGCAAUGGGCGAAAGCCUGACGGAGCAAUGCCGCGUGAAGGAUGAAGGCCUAUGGGUUGUAAACUUCUUUUCUCAGAAAAGAAUUAUGACGGUAUCUGAGGAAUAAGCAUCGGCUAACUCUGUGCCAGCAGCCGCGGUAAGACAGAGGAUGCAAGCGUUAUCCGGAAUGAUUGGGCGUAAAGCGUCUGUAGGUUGUUUAAAAAGAAUUCUGUCAAAGAUUAGGGCUUAACCCUAGAUAGGCAGAAUAAACUUUUAAGCUAGAGUUUGGUAGAGGCAGAGGGAAUUCCCGGUGGAGCGGUGAAAUGCGUAGAUAUCGGGAGGAACACCAAAGGCGAAGGCACUCUGCUGGGCCAAUACUAACACUGAGAGACGAAAGCGAGGGGAGCAAAUGGGAUUAGAAACCCGGGUAGUCC
rnacentral:rRNA from 1 species